CCUCACAAUGUUGUCUGCUCUUGGAGGAUGGAGAGAAUUUAAUUCAGCAGCUCAAAGCCAGGGUGGUGAGGCCCUGGAAUGGAUUGCCCAGAGAAGCUGUGGCUGCCCCAUCCCUGGAAGCAUUCCAGCUGGAUGGGACCCUGAGGAGCCUGGUCUGAAGGAACACAUCCCUGCCCAUAGCAGGGGUUUGGAACAAGAUGAUGUCUGAAGUCUGUGAUUCUAUGGCUGGAGGCUGAAAUGAAUGUUAUGGUGAAGGCAGGAGGCCCCAGCCCCAUGGAAGAGGUUCCUGUGCUGCUGCUUCCACUCGGCUCACAUCACAUCACAGCCCCAGUCCCAGAGCCUUCUGCUGGGCAACCCGGGGCAGCUGCGUGGAUCAGGGAAAUCAGAUGAAAAUCCUGAGGCAUCAAUGGAUUUGUGGAAUGCAGGGGUUUCCCUGCUGGAGAAGGAACACCCCCUGAGAUCUCAGCCCUGCAUGCAGAGCAGGGGCUGUCACUCUCGGGGUGUCCCUGUCACCAUGCUGAGCACUCUGUGUCCCUGGUGGGUUCCCUGAGUUCACUGUCCUGAGUCAUGUCGGGCUUCCAUCCCGCCCCUACAAACCACUGUGUACAUUUCAAGAUCACUGCGCAAA